rnacentral:rRNA from 1 species
UACGUAGGGUGCGAGCGUUAAUCGGAAUUACUGGGCGUAAAGCGUGCGCAGGCGGUCUGUUAAGACCGAUGUGAAAUCCCCGGGCUUAACCUGGGAACUGCAUUGGUGACUGGCAGGCUUUGAGUGUGGCAGAGGGAGGUAGAAUUCCACGUGUAGCUGUGAAAUGCGUAGAGAUGUGGAGGAAUACCGAUGACGAAGGCAGCCUCCUGGGCCAACACUGACGCUCAUGCACGAAAGCGUGGGGAGCAAACAGG